rnacentral:rRNA from 1 species
UACGAAGGGGGCUAGCGUUGCUCGGAAUCACUGGGCGUAAAGGGUGCGCAGGCGGCCGGGUGUGUCAGAUGUGAAAUCCCGAGGCUCAACCUCGGAACUGCGUCUGAAACUACUCGGCUAGAGUACUGGAGAGGGUAACGGAAUUCACGGUGUAGCAGUGAAAUGCGUAGAUAUCGUGAGGAACACCAGAGGCGAAGGCGGUUACCUGGACAGUUACUGACGCUCAGGCACGAAAGCAUGGGGAGCAAAAGGG